GUGGGCGACGCGAGUCGCCUUGCCGUGGGGUUCAUCAACACCUGUGCACCCAGCGAGCGUGUCCCCUUCAAGGGGGGAAGCGUUCACUCCCUUUUGUAACCAAACGCCUGUUGACGAAGCAUGUCUAAUCGAGCUCUACGGAGCGAGUAACAUAUAAUACAACUUUCAACAACGGAUCUCUGGGNUUUCGCAUCGAUGAAGAACGCCGCGAAAGUGCGAAACGUAAUGUGAAUUGCAGAAUUCAGUGAAUCAUCGAAUCUUUGAACGCAUCUUGCGCUCCUUGGUAUUCCGAGGAGCAUGCCUGUUUGAGUGUCGUGAAGUCUAUCGAUCCGUGGCCCUUUGUAAUCGGGGGGCCGGUGGGUCGGAUUUGGACGCUGCCGUCCCCUUCAGUGGACGGCUCGUCUCGAAAUGCAUUAGCUGUUCCCAUCCACAGACAACGGUGUGAUAAGAAACUCGCUGGCGUCGGUGGUAACGAAAUGGGUCGGCUCACAGUCGUCUUCGGACAAAACAUCAUCGUCUGACCUCAAAUCAGGUAGGACUACCCGCUGAACUUAAGCAUAUCAAUAAGCGGAGGAAAAGAAACUAACANGGAUUCCCCUAGUAACGGCGAGUGAAGCGGGAUGAGCUCAAAUUUGUAAUCUGGCGGUCUCCGGCCGUCCGAGUUGUA
rnacentral:rRNA from 1 species